GUGCCAGCAGCCGCGGUAAUACGGAGGGGGUUAGCGUUGUUCGGAAUUACUGGGCGUAAANCGCACGUAGGCGGAUCAGAAAGUNUGNGGUGAAAUCCCNGGGCUCAACCCNGGAACUGCCUUGUAAACUCCUNGUCUUGAGUUCGAGAGAGGUGAGUGGAAUUCCGAGUGUAGAGGUGAAAUUCGUAGAUAUUCGGAGGAACACCAGUGGCGAAGGCGGCUCACUGGCUCGAUACUGACGCUGAGGUGCGAAAGUGUGGGGAGCAAACAGGAUUAGAUACCCUGGUAGUCCACACCGUAAACGAUGAAUGCCAGACGUCAGCAA
rnacentral:rRNA from 1 species